rnacentral:sRNA from 1 species
AGACCCCAGAGUGCAAAGGGGACUAAAUUUAUCCCAAAUUAGAUGAGGGGUAAUU